rnacentral:tRNA from 1 species
ACGGCAGUAGUCUAAUGGUUAGGAUUUGAGCUUCCCAAGCUUGAGAUCCGGGUUCGAAACCUGGGAAAAAUCAGAGGGCAAAGAAAAUCCCGGCUGCCGUA